ACAGGUUUUAGCAAAAGAAGACACAUAACGUGUCUAAAAAAGUGUUUUACAUAACUAACAAAAGAAACUAACGCACAAUCCCUAUAUUUUACUAAAGUUUCUCUUCUUCUCCUUCAACAAAACUACAUAAUUCUUCAUGACUUCUCUUUCAAAAUGGCUUCCUUUCUUUGCUGUAAAAGAAGGUCAAUCAACAGAUUCAACAUGUACACCUCCUUGAGCCAACAAUAGAAGAAAAAAAAUACAAUUAAGCAAUGAAAUUAAUGGGAAAAAAAUCAUAACUUUGCAAUAAAUUAACUGAAAAAAUAAUAAUCAAGAAUUCAUUACGUGAGUUCUAGUUGACUGCUUUGUUAAGUUCAAAUCCAUUUGUGAAUCUACCCAAAUUUCUAGAUGAUAAAAUUUAGAAUAAUCCCACAUAUCAUCAUUUUCAGUUUGUUCUUUGACUGAUCUAGAGAUUGAUUUGAAGAAGCGUCAACAACCUUUCUGAGCACAUAGAGAUGCAAGAAAUUUAUAGACAUUAGAGGUAUAAGGUGCAAUAGUUUGGGGAUAAAAUGCAGGAUUACUUAUCCUACGUUUGGAUAAAGGCAUUACUUAGUCCCAAAAUUAUUUAAGUAAUGGAAUUAGUUAUCACCUAUGGUGGAAUAACUAAUCGUUGGAUUAGUUAUUCCGGAAUAACUUAUUCUAGUUAUUCUCAACUAAAUAACCUCUUCAGAGUAGAUGUCUCCCAUGUUUUACACAGACUAUAGACACAAACACAUAAUGCAGAUUCAAACAACAGAAUAUCCCAUUCUUAAUCAAGCAAAAAAAUUCUAAAUUUUAAGAAAAUUACUCCAAUACCACAUUGAGUAUUCAAAUUAUUUCACAAUUUAAACUUCAAAGAUUGAAAAAAAAGAUUGAAUUUAACCUCGUGACGAUCUCUUUUGUCGAUAUCAAAAGUAUACAGAGGCUAGGGAUACAAUGUAUUCUGCAAAUUCAUUAAUUUAUUUGUUGAAGAACUCACAAUUUCAUCAAAGAACCAGAGGAUUCCAUGUUAGAAGAUGC
rnacentral:lncRNA from 1 species